rnacentral:rRNA from 1 species
AGUGGCGGACGGGUGAGUAACGCGUGAGAAUCUGCCUUGGGGUCGGGGACAACCACUGGAAACGGUGGCUAAUACCGGAUAAGCUGAUUGGUGAAAGAUUUAUUGCCCGAAGAGGAGCUCGCGUCUGAUUAGCUAGUUGGUGAGGUAAGAGCUCACCAAGGCAGCGAUCAGUAGCUGGUCUGAGAGGACGAUCAGCCACACUGGGACUGAGACACGGCCCAGACUCCUACGGGAGGCAGCAGUGGGGAAUUUUCCGCAAUGGGCGAAAGCCUGACGGAGCAAGACCGCGUGAGGGAGGAAGGCUCUUGGGUUGUAAACCUCUUUUCUCAGGGAAGAAGCUCUGACGGUACCUGAGGAAUCAGCCUCGGCUAACUCCGUGCCAGCAGCCGCGGUAAUACGGAGGAGGCAAGCGUUAUCCGGAAUUAUUGGGCGUAAAGCGUCCGCAGGUGGCGAUUCAAGUCUGCUGUCAAAGCACGGGGCUUAACUCCGUAAAGGCAGUGGAAACUGAAUAGCUAGAGUGCCGUAGGGGUAGAGGGAAUUCCCGGUGUAGCGGUGAAAUGCGUAGAGAUCGGGAAGAACAUCGGUGGCGAAAGCGCUCUACUGGACGGCAACUGACACUCAGGGACGAAAGCUAGGGGAGCGAAUGGGAUUAGAUACCCC